AACUUGUUGACCCGCAGGUAUUAGUGAAAGGGAUCACUUUGGUUUCUUAUCAUUAUUUAGGUUUCUAUCCAGUUAGUGACUGAAUAUCCAAAAUCACAAUACAAAAAAUGGCUGGAAUAGAAGAAGAGCAACAUCAUGUAAAAUUUAUUGAGGAAACUGGUACUUUUGGUAAAGAAAACACCAUUAAUAUCCAGAAAUUAUCACAAUGGAGUUUACAGGCUCACCUAGGAUUUUUUAAAGCUGAACCAUUCAUAUGAAAUUUGCCUUUCACUAGACAACCCCAUGACCAAGGACAACUCACGAUGGCUUGCCAAUGAUUCCACUUCAAAGACCUAUAGUAGUGUCAAAUGCUGUGAAAAUGAAGACAGUAAAAUCAAUUUACACAUAAUUUUAAGGGCAGGAAAACCAAAGUUGAUGAAAGAGCUUAUCAAAUUGACCUGUUCUACUGGAUUCCAGUGUGCAUCUUGAAAUCACACUUUUGGCCAGAGUCUUAGGUAAGCAUACUAACAGCAUGUAUAAAUUUUGCACAAUGUCAGAAAAUUCAUUCUUUAAAGUAUCACAACUGAAACUGGUAAGAUACGUACUAUGGCUGAUGUAA